rnacentral:tRNA from 1 species
GAAGGGGUUUAACCAGACUGCUAAUCAGUAUUCCAAAACUAACCAUUUGGCCCCCUCUA